rnacentral:rRNA from 1 species
AGCAGCCGCGGUAAUUCCAGCUCCAAUAGCGUAUAUUAAAGUUGUUGCAGUUAAAAAGCUCGUAGUUGAAUUUCGGGAUCAAUAUGUCGGUCGUGCCUUCGGUACGUACUGGUAUCAUUGGUUUCUCCUUUCUGACGAACCAUGAUGUCAUUAAUUUGGUGUUAUGGGGAGUUAGGACUGUUACUUUGAAAAAAUUAGAGUGUUUAAAGCAGGCUUUAGCUUGAAUACAUUAGCAUGGAAUAAUGAAAUAGGACGUUCGAACCUAUUUUGUUGGUUUCUAGGAUCAACGUAAUGAUUAAUAGGGAUAGUUGGGGGCAUUAGUAUUCAAUUGUCAGAGGUGAAAUUCUUGGAUUUAUUGAAGACUAACUACUGCGAAAGCAUUUGCCAAGGAUGUUUUCAUUAAUCAAGAACGAAAGUUAGGGGAUCGAAGACGAUCAGAUACCGUCGUAGUCUUAACCAUAAACUAUGCCGACUAGGGAUCGGAUGAUGUUAAUUUUUUAAUGACUCAUUCGGCGCCUUACGGGAAAC